UACAGAGGGGGCAAGCGUUGUUCGGAAUUACUGGGCGUAAAGGGCGCGUAGGCGGCCUGCUAAGUCGAACGUGAAAGCCCCGGGCUCAACCUGGGAAUUGCAUUCGAGACUGAAUAGCUAGGGUGCGGUAGAGGGAAGCGGAAUUUCCGGUGUAGCGGUGAAAUGCGUAGAUAUCGGAAGGAACAUCAGUGGCGAAAGCGGCUUCCUGGACCAGCACCGACGUUCAGGCACGAAAGCGUGGGAGCAAACAGG
rnacentral:rRNA from 1 species